AUGGCUCUAGCACCCAACCCACGAAGACCAGUCAACCCUUUAACUUACUUCCUUGGCCCAUUUCUCUUGAAAGUUAAAAAAAAAAGAAAAAAGAAAAAUCCUCAGUGGCCGAAUUCCCGUGGGCAAAGGUACACUGCGAAGUACAUAGUAGAAGGAGGUCAUGGAGCUAAAGAGGACAGGAAAAGGAGACGAAAUGGAGCAGCCAGAACAGUAGGAGGAGCACAAUUUUGAGAUUCCAGAGAACUCCUUUCUACUUGAAGUCCCAAAUACACUGCAGUUCCUGGCCAGCCAGUGAGUGAUGCUGCCUA